rnacentral:lncRNA from 1 species
CUAUUGUUUUGUUGGUGUAUUUGGUCAUGCUGGAACUCAAUUCUUUUUAAAGGUAAUGCCCUUGUUAAGUUGGAAGUGUUGAGUUUUAUGAAGGCAUUAUCUUGGGAUUGAUUCAUGGAUUUUCAUAGAAGAUGGAGGAAUAUUUCUCGGUCCGAUCGGUAUAGUAACCCCGGUAAGUGUUGGGUGUAUUUCCUUUCUUUUAGAGUUUCUUGUCGGUGGUUUUGAGGCUGAGUUUGUUGUAGGUUUGAUAUUUUGGAUUUCUCCUUUUGGUUUCUUGGUUAUAUAAGGGUGAGCACCCCUAGUACUCAUUUUUAAUUCCAAAUUAUCUCUUGCUUAUAAUUUUUUUUACAUAAAUUAUAUAAUAAUGACGUUAUAAUAGUUACAUGUAGUUGAUCAUACAAGAACACAAUGUUGACGAUAUAUUUCAACCUGA